GCCGGCCGCAUGGUCUGGUGGUGGAAAAGAUUUUUUGGUUGGGGAUGGACUCGCGGGCCUAUCAGCUUGUUGGUGAGGUAAUGGCUCACCAAGGCGACGACGGGUAGCCGGCCUGAGAGGGUGACCGGCCACACUGGGACUGAGACACGGCCCAGACUCCUACGGGAGGCAGCAGUGGGGAAUAUUGCACAAUGGGCGAAAGCCUGAUGCAGCAACGCCGCGUGAGGGAUGACGGCCUUCGGGUUGUAAACCUCUUUUAGUAGGGAAGAAGCGAAAGUGACGGUACCUGCAGAAAAAGCACCGGCUAACUACGUGCCAGCAGCCGCGGUAAUACGUAGGGUGCAAGCGUUGUCCGGAAUUAUUGGGCGUAAAGAGCUCGUAGGCGGUUUGUCGCGUCUGCUGUGAAAUCCCGAGGCUCAACCUCGGGCUUGCAGUGGGUACGGGCAGACUAGAGUGCGGUAGGGGAGAUUGGAAUUCCUGGUGUAGCGGUGGAAUGCGCAGAUAUCAGGAGGAACACCGAUGGCGAAGGCAGAUCUCUGGGCCGUAACUGACGCUGAGGAGCGAAAGCGUGGGGAGCGAACAGGAUUAGAUACCCUGGUAGUCCACGC
rnacentral:rRNA from 1 species